GACAGAGGGUGCAAACGUUGUUCGGAAUUACUGGGCGUAAAGCGCGUGUAGGCGGCAACACAAGUCGGAUGUGAAAUCCCGCGGCUUAACCGUGGAAGUGCACCCGAAACUGUAUCGCUAGAGUCCCGGAGAGGAUGGUGGAAUACUUGGUGUAGAGGUGAAAUGCGCAGAUAUCAGGAAGAACACCCGUGGCGAAGGCGGCUUUCUGGGACGGUACUGACGCUGAGACGCGAAAGCGUGGGGAGCGAACAGG
rnacentral:rRNA from 1 species